rnacentral:lncRNA from 1 species
CGGCCGCCCGAGGACAACCAGAGCUUCCAGUACGAUCAUGAGGCCUUCCUAGGCAAGGAGGAUUCCAAGACCUUCGAUCAGCUAAGCCCGGACGAGAGCAAGGAGAGGCUGGGGAAAAUUGUUGAUCGAAUCGACAGUGAUGGAGACGGCCUUGUUACUACUGAGGAGCUGAAAGUUUGGAUCAAACGGGUACAGAAAAGAUACAUCUACGAUAAUGUGGCUAAAGUCUGGAAGGAUUAUGAUAGGGACAAAGACGAAAAGAUCUCCUGGGAAGAAUACAAGCAGGCCACCUAUGGCUACUACCUGGGUAAGACACCACAGCAGAGAUGGCACAGUGGGGAGCAAGGUCACAGGAGGCUCAUCAUGGCUGCCUCCUUCACCCAAAUGUCACAACCUUCAAGUGAAACCUGUUGUGUAACAUCCUCCUCCACCUACUAAGAAUGUACCAAGUUGCUUCCUUUGACUGACAUAGGGGAAGGAGUCUUCGGUCAUGGCCCUGCUUAAACUCUCAGAAGUGCACACAGAGAAGAGAAAGAAAAAAAAAAUGCUUCUGACAGUUUCUAAUUGCUGCUGUCAUUGGGUAGUAAGGAUGAAGUACACCCAAAGCAUCAUCAGGAAACGGAAUUCCGUGAAGUGGGGAGAGGGGUGGAAACCAGGCCUUGAAGCGUGGAUUUCAGUUUGGAGAGACUGUGGGGAGGGUGGCAUUGUUGGAGGGGCAGAGGCACAGAAAUGCAUGCAUGGUGGGUGAGGCUUGGGUUAGUAGUAGGUUAGAGGAAGGAGGGAGGAGUAUGCCACAGACCCUCCAGAUGGACAACAGGGAGACAGGCUUGGGGAGAAAGGAAGGUAAUCAAAGCCAGAUUCUGAGAGCUUGAAAGCUCAGCAGAGGCAUUUAGAUAUUCUAAAACACAGGGAAUCCUCGUAUAUCCUGGAUGGAAAGGCGUAAAUGAAGGCAGAAGACUAUAAUAAAAUAAGGUCUGAACUUG